rnacentral:rRNA from 1 species
UACGUAGGGUGCGAGCGUUGUCCGGAAUUAUUGGGCGUAAAGAGCUCGUAGGCGGUUUGUUGCGUCGGCCGUGAAAAACUUCACGCUUAACGUGGAGCUUGCGGUCGAUACGGGCAGACUUGAGUUCGGUAGGGGGAGACUGGAAUUCCUGGUGUAGCGGUGGAAUGCGCAGAUAUCAGGAGGAACACCGGUGGCGAAGGCGGGGUCUCUGGGCAGUAACUGACGCUGAGAAGCGAAAAGCAUGGGGGAGCGAACAGG